rnacentral:rRNA from 1 species
UGGGGAAUCUUGCACAAUGGGCGCAAGCCUGAUGCAGCCAUGCCGCGUGAGUGAUGAAGGCCCUCGGGUUGUAAAGCUCUUUCAGUGGGGAAGAUAAUGACGGUACCCACAGAAGAAGCCCCGGCUAACUCCGUGCCAGCAGCCGCGGUAAUACGGAGGGGGCUAGCGUUGUUCGGAAUUACUGGGCGUAAAGCGCACGUAGGUGGGUUGAUUAGUCGGGCGUGAAAGCCGGCCGCUUAACCUCGGAAUUGCCUUCGAUACUGUCAGCCUAGAGUCCGAGAGAGGUGAGUGGAAUUCCCAGUGUAGAGGUGAAAUUCGUAGAUAUUGGGAAGAACACCAGUGGCGAAGGCGGCUCACUGGCUCGGUACUGACACUGAGGUGCGAAAGCGUGGGGAGCAAACAGGAUUAGAUACCCCCGUAGUCC